GAGCGUACGCUUUUCUCAAGGACUCAGCCAUGCAAGUGUAAAAGUUCAUACGAUUUAAAAGUGAGACUGCGGACGGCUCAGUAAAUCAGCGAUGAUCUAUCUGAUUGUACAUCCCAUUGGAUAACCGUGGGAAAUCUAGAGCUAAUACAUGCGUUGAUAUAAUGGUAUUGGAGUUGUGUUAGCAAUAAUGCAAUGACGUGCCAUUAAGCAUUUAUUAGAAUAAACCAACUGCUAACGUAUGUGAUAUGCGUUAGUGUGGGUGAGUCUAGAUAACUUUGCUGAUCGUAGUGGCGUUAAAGCCGGCGACAUUUCAGUUGAAUUUCUGCCCUAUCAAUUGGUUGGUAAGGUAGUGGCUUACCAAGGUUGUAACGGGUAACGGGGGAUCAGGGUUCGAUUCCGGAGAGGGAGCCUGAGAAACGGCUACCACAUCCAAGGAAGGCAGCAGGCGCGCAAAUUACCCAAUCCAGACAGUGGGAGGUGGCGACGAGAAUUACUAAGUGGUAGCCUUUAUGGUUAUCGACUUAGAAUGAACGUGAUUUAAGAAAUCCGUUGAGUAACAACUGGAGGGCAAGUCUGGUGCCAGCAGCCGCGGUAAUUCCAGCUCCAGUAGCGUACCUCAAAGUUGCUGCGUUUAAAACGCUCGUAGUUGGAUCACAUGGUUAAGGAUCAGUGAAUUGGCAUGUGAGUACAAUAAAUCCUCAAGUGUAGAUGUAGCGGGGUAUUAUCCCCGAUGCAAUUUAUAUGUUGUGGAGUACUGCAUGUCGAUUGUUAGCUGAACUUAACUGAUUGCAUAUGGGGAUGGUAAUUGACCUUAAGUGCGUCGAUUAUUGUGUCCCAUGGAGUGUGCCUUGAAUAAAACAG
rnacentral:rRNA from 1 species